rnacentral:rRNA from 1 species
AGGAUGAACGCUGGCGGCGUGCUUAACACAUGCAAGUCGAACGGUGAAGCAGGAGCUUGCUCCUGUGGAUCAGUGGCGAACGGGUGAGUAACACGUGAGAAAUCUGCCCUGGACUCUGGGAUACGCGUUGGAAACGACGUCUAA